GACGAACGCUGGCGGCGUGCUUAACACAUGCAAGUCGAGCGGUAAGGCCCUUUCGGGGGUACACGAGCGGCGAACGGGUGAGUAACACGUGGGUGACCUGCCCUCAGCUCUGGGAUAAGCCUGGGAAACCGGGUCUAAUACCGGAUAUGACUCCAUGACGCAUGUUGUGGGGUGGAAAGCCUUGUGCGGCUGAGGAUGGGCCCGCGGCCUAUCAGCUUGUGUGGGGGAUGGCCUACCAAGGCGACGACGGGUAGCCGGCCUGAGAGGGCGACCGGCCACACUGGGACUGAGACACGGCCCAGACUCCUACGGGAGGCAGCAGUGGGGAAUCUUGCGCAAUGGGCGAAAGCCUGACGCAGCGACGCCGCGUGAGGGAUGACGGCC
rnacentral:rRNA from 1 species